AAUAGAUACCCGGUAGUCCACGCCGUAAACGAUGAGUGCUAAGUGUUAGAGGGUUUCCGCCCUUUAGUGCUGCAGCUAACGCAUUAAGCACGUCCGCCUGGGGAGUACGGCCGCAAGGCUGAAACUCAAAGGAAUUGACGGGGGGCCCGCACAAGCGGUGGAGCAUGUGGUUUAAUUCGAAGCAACGCGAAGAACCUUACCAGGUCUUGACAUCCUCUGCCAACCCUAGAGAUAGGGCGUUCCCCUUCGGGGGACAGAGUGACAGGUGGUGCAUGGUUGUCGUCAGCUCGUGUCGUGAGAUGUUGGGUUAAGUCCCGCAACGAGCGCAACCCUUGAUCUUAGUUGCCAGCAUUCAGUUGGGCACUCUAAGGUGACUGCCGGUGACAAACCGGAGGAAGGUGGGGAUGACGGUCAAAUCAUCAUGCCCCUUAUGACCUGGGCUACACACGUGCUACAAUGGAUGGUACAAAGAGCUGCGAACCCGCGAGGGUAAGCGAAUCUCAUAAAGCCAUUCUCAGUUCGGAUUGUAGG
rnacentral:rRNA from 1 species